GUUAAAAUUAAAUUAGGGAACUGAUCACAGAUGUAUUGUCUCUGUGUGUUUUACAUCUAUUGUUGCUUUUAAUUUGCAGCUAUACUUUUAAUGAAGCUCAAUCCGUGUAUCAUUCGUUCAUUCGUUUUUCAAAAUAAAACCAAAUAUGAAAAAACAAAAUAAUGACUUGGUUUUUCAGUAUUUGUUCCAGAACCAAAAUGAAAAAACGGGCCGGAUUCGGGCCUUUCAUGCACUUUCAAUAUUUUCAUCUCCCUGGAAGCCAAGUUUUUUUCUUUUGCAAGCACUGGUUUCUUGUCGGACCGGUCGGAGUGACAACUACAUCCGGUUCAUGGAAGCUAACACUUUGGCUAACAACCGCUGCAUGUGGAGGCUGCAAAUUUGGAGAAAUUGUUCAAUAUGAGAACAAAAUGAAUGCAUCAAUGUUCUAUGGGAAGCGACCAGUCGAAAGUGACGACAGCUGUCUUGACAGCAGGGAUAGUGAUGAAGACUACACUCCUACACCACGUCGGCACUAUCCACGAAGCUACCAACACCACUAUUGCUGCCGGUUUCAUCACCUGGUCAGGAGUGUAGUCUGUACGCAGCAUGCACAGACCCCAUGCACUGAGGCCCCCCUGCCUCGCCGCAGUGGUCGCGGGCUCGAUCCCGGCCUGUGGCCCGUGUCAUUCCCCUAUUCUCUGUUUCCCCACUUCAUGCUGUCCUAAAGCAACAGGCCAACAGCAGUAAUAAUGCUAUAAUUUCGUGUAGAGUUUCAGCUUUUUGCGGUUUACACAUGGCCAUAGGUUUGUGAAUGUAACCAUGUGUACAAGAUGUGUAUAUAAUAUAAAAAUGUCUGCACUCUUAUACAGUGAUUUCUUUUUUCUACACCAGGUGAUGAAAGCAGCAGAAGCUAGUACUGACAACAGGAGCAGCAGUGAUGAAGACUCUGAUGGAAAUCACGAUGCUCUUCCUAGCACCAGUGUUCUAAGAGAAAAGCUUGAGCUCUGUUUCACAAAAGAUUAUAAUAGUUGGUGUUAUAGUCAGGACAUUGAAAAUAAUUGUGUGGCAUCAAUAAAAUCUACAUACCUGAGAUGGGAAAUGUGUUUUAAUAUUAUUAUUAUUUUUUUUUUUAUAUACCAUUGUUUUUUUCCCCAUUUAUUCCUGUUGUUGCUAAUUUGUAUCAUACCUAAAUGUAUGUCUAUUCUGUGUAUACAUCUAUAACAAUCUCCACUUACUUAUUGUUAUUAUUGGUUUACUUUUUAGUAGUAUUGUAUUAUCUGAGGAUGACUCAUUUUAGUAACUACAGUAAAAAAAAAAAAAAAGAAAAAA